rnacentral:rRNA from 1 species
CGUGUAGGCGGUAUGGUAAGUCAGAUGUGAAAGCCCUGGGCUCAACUCAGGAAGUGCAUUUGAUACUGCUAUACUUGAGUAUGGGAGAGGAGAGUGGAAUUCCCAGUGUAGAGGUGAAAUUCGUAGAUAUUGGGAGGAACACCCGUGGCGAAGGCGGCUCUCUGGACCAAUACUGACGCUGAGACGCGAAAGCGUGGGGAGCAAACA